rnacentral:rRNA from 1 species
GAGCUAAAUAUAAUUGCAAGAUUGGUUGGCUGGUUAAAGGUGUGGCAAAACCUUAGUCGAAAUUGUAUUUAGGGGUGAUAGGCCGUUCAAAAACUAAGAUAUCUUGAUUCCAAUGAAAUGUAUUUAGUACAGUUUACACAUUUUCUAAGUGGUUAGGCUUAGCAACAAUAUAAAAUUAUAUGUUUACUAUGGUUACGUUAUAAUAAACAAAUAUACAUUAAAGAUAAUAUACUUUUCUUUAAGAUUAUAAAUAAUAAUUGGAUAUAAUUAAGCUUAUAUAUUUUUAAAUAAUGUUGUUAUUAGUAUAUGCGUAAGUUUUUCAUAAGGAACUCGGCAAAAAUGUUCCUCAACUGUUUAUCAAAAACAUAACUGUGUGUAUUCUAUACAUAGCGGUAUCUGCUCAAUGUUUAUAUAAAUAGCCGCAGUAUACUGACUGUGCAAAGGUAGCAUAAUCAAUUGACUUAUAAUUGAAGUCUGGAAUGAAUGACAGUAUGGGGAGCUACUGUCUCAUGUAAAUACGGAGAACUUGUUUAUGAAGUGAAAAUCCUUCUCACAAUAUAAUAGACGAGAAGACCCUAGAAAUUUUAAGUAAUAUUAGGUAUAUUCCUAGUAAUUUUUCGCUGGGGCGGCGGAGUAGCAUAUAACCUACUUAUACAAACCUGCGGCUUAUGAGACAUUUGAUAAAUUACUCUAGGGAUAACAGCAUAAUAUUUUAAAGUUUGUGACCUCGAUGUUGGACUAGGACAUAAUAACCUAAAAGGUUUUUUAUAUUGCUCUGUUCGAGCAUAAACUCCUACAUGAUC